rnacentral:rRNA from 1 species
ACGGGGUGCAGCAGGCGCGAAAACUUCAACAAUGGGCGAAAGCCCGAUGAGGGAAUUCCUAGUGCUAGCACAUUUGUGUUAGCUUUUCCUUAGCGUAGAUCACUAGGGGAAUAAGGGCUGGGUAAGACGGGUGCCAGCCGCCGCGGUAUACCCGCAGCCCGAGUGGUGGUCGAUUUUAUUGAGUCUAAAACGUUCGUAGCCGGUCUGAUAAAUCCCUGGGUACAUCGGAUGGCUUAACCAUCCGAAUUCCGGGGAGACUGUCAGGCUUGGGAUCGGGAGAGGUAUGAGGUACUUCUGGGGUAGGGGUAAAAUCCUGUAAUCCUGGGAGGACCACCUGUGGCGAAGGCGUCUAACUGGAACGAUCUUGACGGUGAGUAACGAAAGCCAGGGGCGCGAACCGGAUUAGAUACCCGGGUAGUCCUGGCCGUAAACGAUGUGGACUUGGUGUUGGAGGCCCUUCGGGGGCACCCAGUGCCCGAGAGAAGUUGUUAAGUCUGCUACUUGGGGAGUACGUCCGCAAGGAUGAAACUUAAAGGAAUUGGCGGGGGAGCAC